UAAACAUUUCUACUAGCCACAGCUUUGCUGCCAGUACAUUUUAUUAUGAUACUAUAAGCUCAGAAGUUGAUCAAACAAUUCGAUCUGUGCUAUAAACAUUUAAAUGAACCUACAGAAUAGGCUAUCAAAAUAGAAUCAUCUGAAUGAUCUUUCUUGGACAUACAUUUUGAAGUGACCCUUCGAAUUAAAAAGGUUCCUCAGCUGCUUUUGAGGAAAAACAUCAAUGUGCUUGGCCACUCUGGUUUUUAAAUGGUAUUCUGAACUAAAGCAAGGAUUGUUCAAGUUAGUUGAAAAUAGACCGUCUCUGGUUAAAUUAGUUCUACACCAAGCCUUUAGGUGGCAGUAAAACGAAUUGGCACAAUGCGAAUUCCACACACAAGCCACAAAGAAAGAAGCCAUCAGCCGCGGUCAACAGCACCUUCCUGAUUGAACAGAACCACGCGUUGUCUGUGUGGUUUACAAGUUUCUUGGCGAUAUGGGGGAAAGUUCCUCACAUACCAACGGAAAAUGGGCUUCAUAUACAUGCUGCUGUCUCAUAAUAUGGCGAAGACGAGUCACCUGAAGGCCUAACUCGCCAUAGAAGACUGAAAGAAUUGUCCUGCAGGAUGCUGUGUCCUGCAAUCCUGUGUGCUGUGCUACAGACGCGUGUGGAG